rnacentral:rRNA from 1 species
AGUGAACGCUGGCGGUAGGCCUAACACAUGCAAGUCGAACGGCAGCACAGUAAGAGCUUGCUCUUACGGGUGGCGAGUGGCGGACGGGUGAGGAAUACAUCGGAAUCUACUUUUUCGUGGGGGAUAACGUAGGGAAACUUACGCUAAUACCGCAUACGACCUACGGGUGAAAGCAGGGGAUCUUCGGACCUUGCGCGAUUGAAUGAGCCGAUGUCGGAUUAGCUAGUUGGCGGGGUAAAGGCCCACCAAGGCGACGAUCCGUAGCUGGUCUGAGAGGAUGAUCAGCCCCACUGGAAUUGGGAACCGGUCCAGACUCCUACGGGAGGCAGCAGUGGGGAAUAUUGGACAAUGGGCGCAAGCCUGAUCCAGCCAUACCGCGUGGGUGAAGAAGGCCUUCGGGUUGUAAAGCCCUUUUGUUGGGAAAGAAAAGCAGCAGGUUAAUACCCCGCUGUUCUGACGGUACCCAAAGAAUAAGCACCGGCUAACUUCGUG